AGAGUUUGAUCCUGGCUCAGGACGAACGCUGGCGGCGUGCUUAACACAUGCAAGUCGAACGAGGAUUCAGGAGAGCUUGCUCUCCGAAGAUCCGAGUGGCGGACGGGUGAGUAACGCGUGGGCAAUCUGCCCGUAAGAGGGGGAUAACACCGAGAAAUUGGUGCUAAUACCGCAUAACAUCAUUGGGCUGCAUAACCUGGUGAUCAAAGGAGUAAUCCGCUUACGGAUGAGCCCGCGUCUGAUUAGCUAGUUGGUGGGGUAACGGCCUACCAAGGCGACGAUCAGUAGCCGGCCUGAGAGGGUGACCGGCCACACUGGAACUGAGACACGGUCCAGACUCCUACGGGAGGCAGCAGUGGGGAAUCUUCCGCAAUGGGCGAAAGCCUGACGGAGCAACGCCGCGUGAGUGAUGAAGGCCUUCGGGUUGUAAAACUCUGUCUUCAGGGAAGAAACAAAUGACGGUACCUGAGGAGGAAGCCACGGCUAACUACGUGCCAGCAGCCGCGGUAAUACGUAGGUGGCAAGCGUUGUCCGGAAUUACUGGGCGUAAAGAGCGCGUAGGCGGGGAUUUAAGUCAGGAGUGAAAACUGGGGGCUCAACCUCCAGCCUGCUCUUGAAACUGAAUCUCUUGAGGGUAUGAGAGGAAAGCGGAAUUCCCAGUGUAGCGGUGAAAUGCGUAGAUAUUGGGAGGAACACCAGUGGCGAAGGCGGCUUUCUGGCAUACAACUGACGCUGAGGCGCGAAAGCGUGGGGAGCAAACGGGAUUAGAUACCCCGGUAGUCCACGCCGUAAACGAUGGGCACUAGGUGUAGGAGGUAUCGACCCCUUCUGUGCCGUAGUUAACACAAUAAGUGCCCCGCCUGGGGAGUACGGCCGCAAGGUUGAAACUCAAAGGAAUUGACGG
rnacentral:rRNA from 1 species